rnacentral:lncRNA from 1 species
AUUCGACAAACGAGAUCUAUGUCUUGCCGAAUGGAGACGAGUACAGGCUCUUGCCAGUGUUUUCUGGUCCCGUUGGAGGAAGGAAUACCUGCCGUUACUACAACAACGACGAAAAUGGACCGAAGAUCGCCGUGAUCUCAUCGAAGGAGACGUCAUUCUUUUAAAGGACAAAAACAUUUGCCGUACCCAAUGGCCCGUUGGAAUUAUAGUGAACUCAUUUAAAAGUUCAGACGAACAUGUCCGAAAAGCAGAAGUGCGAGUAAUCGUUAAUGGAAAAGCCACAACCUACACACGCCCUAUCGUGGACAUGAUUCUUCUCGUAGAGAACAACCCUGUGUAAUUAUAUGUAUAUAUAUAUAUAUUGGAUUUAGAUAGGACAUUCACAUGUGUUAUAUUUUAUGGAAUAGUGAUAUCAGAUAGAUUUCAGACGGGGAGUAUUCUGUUUCACAUUCAAUGUUUAUUACAUGUUUUCAUAUUUAUCCGGAACAAAUUGAACUGGACCGAUUUCUCAAAUCACCGUAUUAUCGACUACCUUUAAUUUCUGUGACACCGUCCGCUUCAAUAUUUCAACACAUGGAAAAUGGACGACAUUUGAACUUCCUACGGAAAUCGAGACAUACCACUGUCAAGUACGUUUGAUUCAAUCAUAAACUGUGAUAAAUUAAUCUGUUUUAACUCCGUUAUUUUUAGAUAAGUGGUUUAUAAAUACAUACGAACUGUAAGUUAUUUAUUUCCGAGAAAUGAACUGUAAAUUCUACUUUCGUUUUUGACUCGAUUAAUAAUCUUGUAUUUAACAUUCAUAUUUAAUUCGUACACAUUGUAAAAUAUUGUAUUUUUAUUUCUUUCAGUUUACCAAUCUACUGACUAUUAUGUAAACCUUUCUGGUGGAAUUUAUAAUUACAAUUUCAAACAAGUUGUGUUCGUUAUAUCUUCAUCGAGAUUGCGAUUGCAGUCACCUGGUUAAACUAGUUGAGUCCGGCUCAGCAUACAUUCAGUA